rnacentral:lncRNA from 1 species
CAUGGACUGCACCAGAUUUGUCAGUUCUUGCUGGCACCUGCAAGUUCCCGGACAUUUCUGGGGGGAAUGGCCCUAGCCCUCACCCUCUGAUCCAACAGGUCCCAGACGUGCUCAAAUGGAUUGAGAUCCAGGCUCUUCGCUGGCCAUGGCAGAACACUGACAUUCAUGUCUUGCAGGAAAUCACGCACAGAGCGAGCAGUAUGGCUGGUGGCAUUGUCAUGCUGGAGGGUCAUGUCAGGAUGAGCCUGCAGGAAGGGUACCACAUGAGGGAGGAGGAUGUCUUCCCUGUAACACACAGCGUUGAGAUUGCCUUCAAUGACAACAAGCUCAGUCCGAUGAUGUUGUGACAAACUGCCCCAGACCAUGAAGGACCCUCUACCUCCAAAUCAAUCCCGCUCCAGAGUACAGGCCUCGGUGUAACCCUCAUUCCUUCGACGAUAAAUGCGAAUCUGAUCAUCACCACUGGUGAGAGAAAACCGUGACUUUGUCAGUGAAGAGCACUUUUUUCCACUCCUGUCUGGUCCAGUGACGGUGGGUUUGUGCCCAUAGGCAACGUUGUUGCCGGUGAUGUCUGGAGCAGUUGGAGGCCACGGAAGAAGAGUUGCACGGCAUCGAAGCUCGUCUGGAGGGCUGUCAACACAGUGUCCAAAGAAGGGCCAGAAGUAUACAGAAUGGUGUCGUCUGCGUAGAGGUGGAUCAGAGACUCACCUAUGACCUAGAGGCUCACUCCCCCCAGUGAACUUGUCCAGGCGUGUGGUCAAUAAGGGGUUUUACUUGAGAUGGGAGUAUUUGGAGUUGACAAUUGAUUUAUGCCAUAGAAUGAAUUGGUGUUUCUGUGCUAUGAAGUACCAGGAACGAGAUCGGAGCCUCGUCUUAGGGGCCAGACUAAACAACAAGAACAGUCUUCAUCGCAAACGCUAUCUGGCUGCGGGAUACUCCUUUUUCAUAUAUCAAGUUUCACCUUGUGACCCAUUCUAUACAUCUGUUGUUUGUCAUGAAGACUAAAAGGGCGUAUCUUUUCUAUAAAAGAUAUUUGUAUUCUUCGUAUGUCAGAGCUACUCGUCACAACACUUGGAAGUGUUGAGCCGACCAGCCUCAUCAUUAUAGAAGCAAUUGCUCUAUGCUUUCCUUAUUAAUAAGUUUUGAAUAAAGUAAUAUCCUGAUUGGUGAUUGACCUUGUCUCUCCUCAUUAUUGAUUAGAAUUUAGAGGUCCUUAGAUCAAUUAUCAGUGA